GGCCAUAAACUUUGGCAUUCCAUGAAAGUUCAAAAUGCUGUUUUUUUCAGGCUACAAUAAGUAUUCAGGUUUUACCAGUCAAAUAUGUGACUUAAUCUGCCAUGUCCGUAAGAAGUUAGAGCAAUUUGGAACUUUCGCUCUGUGCAUUGAUCCUUCGAGCCAGAUGAGAUGGAACCACACGACGCGAAUAACUUGCGCGCGAAGCGGGAGGUUAUGUUCGCGAAAGCGAGAUGGGAGAACGGAAGGAUAAACUCACGGAACUUUCUGGUAACUUCGAAACAGUUCAAACCGAGAUUGAAGAGAACACCAGUCACUGCUUGGAAGAUGUAGCGUCGGUAUUCAACUACCGGCUGCGCAGUUCGACGAAGUCUACUUCAAGGCGAAGGGCAUUUACUCAUCGUACCUGCAGCGCAGGAAUAGGAGAAUCGACAAACGACUUGCGAGAUGCGAUCAGGGCGCUCGUAGAGAUGCAUCAAGCAAUGAUCAUGCACCAAAUCAAGAACAGUGCAGCACCUGCUGCGAGACAGGUGUCGAAUCAGGACCAUCCGCUGAACGUGAAGCUUCCGCAGCUCAACAUUCCGAUGUUCAAAGGAAAACGGAAGAACUGACUUUCCCUCAAAGAUUUGUUCGUGAGCACAAUCCACAGCAGAACGGACCUGAAGGAUGCGCUGAAUAUGCAGUACUUGCUAUCAUAUCUGGAUGACGAAGCGAAGAAAACGGUCAGUUCAUUUCCCAUCAGUGAUGCCAAUUAUAAGGAAGUUUUGGGAGACACUUGUAAGGCACUACAACAAGAAGAAGUACACAGUGUUUGCCCUAGUUCGGGAGCUCAUCGACCAACCAGCAAUCUCAUGCACGAGCGGAUUGAAGAAGUUGGUGACAACAUCCGAAUCGAGGGAUCCCUGACUCAAUCGCCUACUGCUGGAGAAAGUUGGCAGGGAAACAACGUCUUUGUGGGCGCAGAAAAUUAUUGAUGUCGACAGUCCAACCUUUGCUGACUUUCUGGAGUUCCUGCAGAAGCGUUGCGAUGUACUCGAAACGUGCACAGCCAUUCACGAAGCGGCCGAUCCAAGAAGAUACCGUGAAGAAGUUGGUAUAAGAGUGCAAGCUUUCCACACCAACACAUUUCAAGGAGCAAUUCAAGGAAAUGGUUAUCACGGCGCGCAGGGAGUUGGCACAAACGGCAAGGCUUUGCCCAUCGAAAUCGGUACGCCGCUCUGCAGACUGCAAGCAACGGCAUCACACUUUGCUGUGCACACAAGAAGCGAAGCAACCGCAGAAGAAGUCGAAUCAGCGUCAAUCAAACCAGGAAGCUCGUUCGGCAUCAGCUCCUAGCAUCGGUGAAUGUCAACUCGGCACAAUCGCUGGGCGAGAAAUUUGAAGUUACGCUGCUGCUCACAGUGAUGGCACGAGUCAAAGGGAGUGACGGCAAGCUGCACGAGGUGAGGAUUCUUAUUGACUGUGGUUGAGGCGUAGCAACGGUACACUGGAAGUCACCGGUGUCAACGCAGAGUUUGUCGACACUACCCGGCAAGGCUACACUCGUGAUCUCAUCGCGUUUCGAGCAUGGAGCGAAACUCGUCGCUCAUGCUUACGUUCAUGGCAACACUGCCGUGUCAGCAAUUCAGCCUGGAGGCUCUGCAGCUGGCCAACCCGCAGUUCAACAAGCCUGGAUCAACGGACAUCAUCUUGGGCUCUGAUGUUGUCCUUUCGUUACUAGAGCCAGGACAGGUCAAGGAUCACAACGGUAAACCUGUAGCACAGCGUUUCGUCUUUGGAUGGAUGCUUGCAGGAAAUAUUUCGAAGCAAGGGUGCGCUCACACCUAUCAUUCGGUACUCAAUCUGCAUCACGAGGUUGAUAUCGAUCGCACUCUGUGUCUGUUUUGGGAAGAUCAAGAGCUUCACAGUCCCAAACAGCUCACCAAGGAUGAGCAAGGGGUGGUUGAAGAGUUCAACUCGACAGUGAGCAUGCAUAAGGGCGUAUACGCGAUGAUCGAUUCUCUUCAACGAUUUUCUCUUUGCAUUGCUACAGCUAAGCGAAACAAUUUUCUAGAAUAUGUUCAAUGCAGAGAUGUAACAGGUUGUAUUGGCUAUCAAAAACAGCAGCAAACGCAUCGAGAAACGUUAAUUCUAGCGAGUUAUUAACAAAAGAGAAAAUUGACGAAGAGAAUCGAUCAUCGCGUUUACACCCUUAUGCAUGUUUACAGUCGAACUCCACCCUCACGCGCUCGCAGAGAAAGGUCGCUUUAUCGUCUGUUUGCCUAUGGAUGAUUCAAAGCUCAAACUCGGGAAUUCGCUGACCGCUGCUACCAGGUGGUUGAGAGCGAUGGAGCGCCAAUUCGAGAACGACAGCUGGCUAUCGUUUAUGCAAGAGUACCAGCAAUUGGGCCACAUGGAGGUUGUGCCGCUGGCGGAGAUCGACGUGGACUGUUCGAAAUCGUACUACUUGCCCCACCAUGGCGUUGUAAAGAAGGACAGCGUAACCACAAAACUUCGAGUGGUUUUCGAUGCUUCUUCUGCCACCACGACGAUAUGCUACUAGAUGCUGUUCUUAGUGGUAUUCAUCGCGGAUGUCGAAAAGAUGUACCACCAGGUGUGGGUGCAUCAUUAAAAUACGGACUAGAGAGGGUCUAUACUACACCCUCUCUAAUACGGACUACCUAUGCAUCGUAUGGCGAGAAUCCUGACAAGCCGAAUCAGCAUUUUCGUCUCCGUACCGUCACUUACGGUCUUAAGAACUCAGAGUUCCUAGCAAUGGCAGCAGUACCCGGAAGCUGCUGAGAGAAUCAAGAAGCAUACAUACGUCGAUGAUCUAACUUCAGGCGCAGAUUCAGCGGAGGAAGCGGUACGAGUUAUCAAGGAAAUCAACGAAAUCCUCGGCAAGGUGGGGUUUACUCUUCGUAAAUGGAGUUCAACUGAAGUACUCGACUCGCUGACAGAUACCAUCAGCACCACAAUGCCGAUUCAAUUCCCCGACGAACAGAAUAUUGUGAAGGCGUUCGGAACACACUAGCUUCCAACAGAAGAUGUGUUCACAUUUAAGGUGACGGACCAAACACGAAACAUCACCUACUCUCGGAUUCAGCGAAGCUGUUUGACCCAUUUGGAUGGUUUGCACCCGUGAUUGUACGUGACAAAAUCCUAUAUAGAACAGUGGCGUCACCCUAACCUCAAUCUACCUGUUCAACAACUCUCAAAACGUAAACAAACAAAACAAUAUUGGUUCCAAUGGAUACAAAUCAGUGAAACUAGAAGACCCUAUGCCUUUUGAAACUGAUUUGAAUGUAAACAUGACCCUAAAUAACGUUUUCAAAGUUGUUGAACAGGUAAAAAGGGAAGUUACGCGACGCCACUGAUAUAGAAAAUGUCCGUCAUUGAAGAGGUGUGAACUACCACGAUGAGCGGCGAAUUACACAGAUUCUCGGAUGCAGCGGAGGAGGCGUACCUACGAUCAGUGGAUAGUGACGGCGAGGUUCAUGUUACCUUGAUGGCAGCGAAAACCAAGGUCGCUCCUGUACGACAAAUCUCCAUUCCCCGUCUGGAGCUCAAUGCAGCCGAAACUGAUGAACCAGUUAGCGCAUGCACUCAAGCGAUACCAGAUCGAGCAGUACGCCUGGACGGAUUCUACCAUCGUUUUGCAGUGGCUAUCCAGCCAACCCCGCCAGUGGAACAUCCACAUGGCGAAUAGAACCUCUUCGAUUCUGGACAUCUUGCCGAGAAAGCACUGGGCACAUGUUGUGUCAAACGAAAAUCCUGCUGAUUGCGCUUCCCGUGGGAUCUCUCGGCUGGAACUUGCCAUCCAUCCCCUGUGGUGGACGGGGCCCGCAUGGUUGUCCGACGAUUCAGCUAUGUGGAAACGAAACACAAUCACUGGAGGUUCGUAAACGUUUUCAAUCACUCAAUGUUUCCGUUAGUCUUCCAGCCACAAGCAACGUCAUGGCAGCUGGCUCGCGUUCGGAGAUUCGUCUACAAUAUGAAGUGCAAGGUAACCGGCAACGACAAGCAAUACGGUUCUAUUUUGCCAUCGGAGUUGCAUCAGGCUCGAAUGCAGUUUGUACGACUGUAGCAGUAGGAUUCCUAUGCAAGUCAAACCAAGGCUCUGGUACGCGGAGAGGAAGUUCCAGUUAAAUCCAGCAUUUCAAGCCAGCACGCUUCGGGUUGGAGGGCGAUUACAGCACUCGGCGUAUUCCUUCGAUGUCAAGCACCCGAUAAUCGU